rnacentral:rRNA from 1 species
UGGGGAAUAUUGCACAAUGGGCGCAAGCCUGAUGCAGCCAUGCCGCGUGUGUGAAGAAGGCCUUCGGGUUGUAAAGCACUUUCAGCGAGGAGGAAGGGUUCAGUGUUAAUAGCACUGUUCAUUGACGUUACUCGCAGAAGAAGCACCGGCUAACUCCGUGCCAGCAGCCGCGGUAAUACGGAGGGUGCAAGCGUUAAUCGGAAUUACUGGGCGUAAAGCGCACGCAGGCGGUUUGUUAAGUCAGAUGUGAAAUCCCCGCGCUUAACGUGGGAACUGCAUUUGAAACUGGCAAGCUAGAGUCUUGUAGAGGGGGGUAGAAUUCCAGGUGUAGCGGUGAAAUGCGUAGAGAUCUGGAGGAAUACCGGUGGCGAAGGCGGCCCCCUGGACAAAGACUGACGCUCAGGUGCGAAAGCGUGGGGAGCAAAACAGGAUUAGAUACCCUGGUAGUCCACGCUGUAAACGAUGUCGACUUGGAGGUUGUGCCCUUGAGGCGUGGCUUCCGGAGCUAACGCGUUAAGUCGACCGCCUGGGGGAGUACGGCCGCAA